AUACUUUUCUUGGCCUUUUGGCUAAGAUCAAGUGUAGUAUCUGUUCUUAUCAGUUUAAUAUCUGAUAUGUGGGUCAUGUGCCUACAGUGAUAUUAAAUUUAUUUUUUAUGGGGGAGGGUCCACCACAGUGGCUUGCCAUUGGGUACCUCAAGUGUCGCCUGGGCGUUGCACUACAGCCUAGGUAGGCGCACCCCAA
rfam:Triticum aestivum genome assembly, contig: Triticum_aestivum_CS42_TGACv1_scaffold_593178_7BS